ACUGCGGAGGGGCGCGGCGAGACAAAGCUCGUUCCUAAAUGGUCGAUUGCCACGUUCCUGUUAUCGAUGCGUGUCGGCGCAACCUGAGUGGGUCUCACUGU
rnacentral:sRNA from 1 species